rnacentral:rRNA from 1 species
GGCAGCAUGGUCUUAGCUUGCUAAGGCCGAUGGCGACCGGCGCACGGGUGAGUAACACGUAUCCCCCCUGCCGUCUACUCUUGGACAGCCUUCUGAAAGGAAGAUUAAUACAAGAUGGCAUCAUGAGUCCACAUGUUCACAUGAUUAAAGGUAUUCCGGUAGACGAUGGGGAUGCGUUCCUUUAGAUAGUAGGCGGGGUAACGGCCCACCUAGUCUUCGAUGGAUAGGGGUUCUGAGAGGAAGGUCCCCCACAUUGGAACUGAGACACGGUCCAAACUCCUACGGGAGGCAGCAGUGAGGAAUAUUGGUCAAUGGGCGAGAGCCUGAACCAGCCAAGUAGCGUGAAGGAUGACUGCCCUAUGGGUUGUAAACUUCUUUUAUAAAGGAAUAAAGUCGGGUAUGGAUACCCGUUUGCAUGUACUUUAUGAAUAAGGAUCGGCUAACUCCGUGCCAGCAGCCGCGGUAAUACGGAGGAUCCGAGCGUUAUCCGGAUUUAUUGGGUUUAAAGGGAGCGUAGAUGGAUGUUUAAGUCAGUUGUGAAAGUUUGCGGCUCAACCGUAAAAUUGCAGUUGAUACUGGAUAUCUUGAGUGCAGUUGAGGCAGGCGGAAUUCGUGGUGUAGCGGUGAAAUGCUUAGAUAUCACGAAGAACUCCGAUUG